rnacentral:lncRNA from 1 species
GGGUACUCGAUGAUAAAGAGCAAUUACUGGUAUAUAUGAAGUCCUCUGCAUUUCCAUAUAAGAUUUAUAUAUGGGGAUUUUGUUUCGUAAAAUAGUUAUGGUUGUCCAAAUAUGUACCCACUAAGUUGGUGUAUGGUGAGAGAGAAUCAUGUUAUCUUGUUGACACCCCAACAUCACCAAGUGAAAGGUCUCCAACCUAAUCAUAAUUUGCAUGACAAGAAAUAAUGCUGGACACCACCUCUUUAAACUUUCAUAUUACUCAUUAUUCACACAGCUAAGAGAAAUUAAAAGAGAGUUGGUUGUAAUUACUGUCCUAUUUAAACUAUUACUGUUAAUUUAUAGAGAGUAAUUGUCUUGAUUCGAUAAGGUUUCAAAUUCGACUAACACGAACGCAAAAAUAGUACUCAUUUAUAGUGAGUUUGAUACAUAGUUGUGACUAACCAGUUGGAUAUUAUAUUUUCCGUGCAUGAAUUUCAGUGCAAAACUGCUAAUGGCCAGUGGGGAUUAACCAUUGCAGAGAAUGUUAGAAAGAAAAAGGCAGAUUGGCUAGCAUAUUUUUCACAUCGUUUUCUUCUGCACAAAAACCGGUUGGCGCAAUUUGUUUACUUUAUAAAUAUAUAUGUUUUUUUUCUUGCACAAAUUUUCUCACUUUUUAAGACUUCGAGAAAAUGAAAAUAUGAAUUUCCCCAUGUAAAGGAAAAUGAUUGAACAUGCAUGCAUUUCGCAAAACCCACUCCCAUAUAUUUAAUUGCACGUGGUUUCACUUCUUAAUUUCUUUGUUUUAUUCUUCUCAGAAAUUAGUAUACGCAAUUUUAGAGAGAGAUUUUUGAGUCGCAAUAUUCUAUUUUCUGGUAAUGAAAAUUAAGUUGUAAAUUAUUGUUGACAAUGCUUAUGAUAAUAUGUGUAUGCAUGCAGGAUCCUAGGCAGUGCUGAUCCAAAAGUCUGUUAAUUCAGUUAAUAAUACAUUGUUCUAUAAUUAAUAAUAUAUAUUUUCUAAAGCUGGCUAUGUACGAUUUUUCAUUUGGUCUUAUCGUGAGCCAAGAAAGUGAAAAAGAAAAAGAAAUAGGGAACCUUGCCCAAUGGCAGAGGACUGGUGGGAAUAAUUAUUUUUUUAAUUAAAUUAAAAAAUUACAUCUUUAAUUUAAUUAUUAAGCAUUUGUACAUUAGUAUGAAGGUGUAGCAAAGUUUGCGGUGGUCACAUGCCUCUUUCUCAGGCCCUCAUGCACCUCACAGUGGUUUAUGAUGCCAUCACUGACACACACACACAAGAACACUGCAUUAAUAUUAAUUGUUAUAAAGCUGCAGUUAUAAAAUACUUUGGAGGAAAAAAUUAUUUAAUUUCAUAUUUUAAGUAAAUGGAUUAAGUGGGUUCAAUUUUACUGUUUCAGACUCAUUGAUUUUACCUUUUAAGUAAUAGCAGUGUAACAUGUAUACAUAAAUUUUUUUUAAUAAAUUUUGGAUAAAUUAUUUUUAUAUGUGUCAAAAUAUGAUUCACAAAAAGAAGGGGUAUCGCCUUAUAAGAAAUGAGGCAAACAUUAUCCUUCUAUCUUUGAGCGAAAAAGUAAAUGGCUUCCAUGCAUGGAAGAUUUUCCCAUGUUGAUAAUAAAGGGUUUUGUCUCCUUUCCACCACCAUCUCUUCUGACGAUGACUUGGCCAUUUUUUAAAAUUAAAAAAAAAAAAAGAAAAAAAAAGCAAGAGGUUUUCUCAAUUUCCCUAGCAUGGAAACCCGUGACUCUACAAAUGAAGAAAUGAGAGCAUAAACGAUAAUAAACUUGCAUCCAACAAGUUGUUGCAUUGCAGGUACAGAUCAAUAUCUUAUAUUUCAACAUGAUCAAAAGCACUAUUACUUAAGAGAAGGUUUUUAUAAAAUUUCUACUGGGCCAUUGCAGCAUUUGCUUGUAGACAUUACAAGGAGCUGCUAAAGACAGUUGCGCAACUGUUAAAUUCUAGCCAUGUAGUAGGGUUUGGAUGUUCCCAUGCUUCUAUUCUCUCCUAUUUCUUUAUGAUAUUUUAUAGCUAGAAGUACAAAAUCACCUUCCCCCGAAUCAUAAGGUUCAAUGAAGAUUACUAAGGUCAAUCGUUUAUGCACGAAUAAAUAAUUUCUAAUCGUUGAUACAUCUAAGUAUAUUUAACGAUCAAAACUAAAUCACAUACGUGUGAAUAAUUAACUGUAGCAUUAUCUCUUAUGAAUUACGUUCCAGUCAUGCUUGGAAGUUACACAUCGAGAAUAAAUUCGUACAUGCGUAGUUGAGUCUGAAUGAAGUGUCUGCAGAUACAAAGGACUUGGAGAGAGAGAGAGAGACCCACAUGCAACAUGCAAGUGUCCUGUGAUGGAGACAUUGGCACUAGGGCCAAGGAUCUUUUCAAACAAAUGGAAGACAUUUGGGACAUUUAUCACAUCGACGGCCCCGCACCCUCAUCUGCACUUCACGUUUGCUUACAAAGUUUUUCAUUCUAUAUAUUAUUAUAAUCACUGAUACGUGGCACAAUCCCAGUUGUCCACACCUUUAUUUUAUUCUAAGGUAUAAGAGAGAAUGCAUUCGCGAGAAGAACUUUAAACUGCAACUUCAAAAUCCACCAUUUUAGGUGUCCGUCUGUACCUUUGAACCGCAAAAUAAACCCUCUUAGCUCUCCCUCUUCCUACACUUUCUCUCACUAUUUUCUCACUCGCUUUCUCCUUCCUCCUCUCAUUCCUCAUUGCCUGCCUUGACACCAAAACCAGAACUUCAAAACUUUCAAAACCCCCAAAAAAAAAAAAAACAGUGGAAACUUCCAGAGCUCAUAGCAAUGGAAGCUCCCAAGUAUUUUCAGAACAGUUUCUACCCACAAUUCACACCGGAAAAGCGCCACUCUUUUGACAAUAAUAACAAUAAGACCACCAAUGGUGGUGGCGGUGGCGAGGACCAUUUCAUGGUGGAGGACCUUCUCGACUUUUCCAAUGACGACGCGGUGAUAACUGACGGUGGUGCUACUUUUGAUAACGUCACUGGAAACUCCAUUGACUCUUCCACCCUCACCGACAUCGAUAGCUGCAAUUCUUCUUCCUUAUCGAGCUCUAAACCCAAUGUCAUCCUCGAUAUCGGGUCCAAAAAUAUCGCUGAAGGCCCAUUCUCCAGUGACCUCUGCGUCCCGGUAUAUACAAUAAAUUGCAUUUUGCUGCUUCUCAAUUGUCAUUUUUCUUUUCAUGAGAAAAGUUAUUUGUGAAUUUGUUUUUCAAUCCCAAAGCAAAACGACAAAAUUCAUGAUUGAAUGAAAUUUUCGGCGUUACGUAAUUGGCACUUGGCUACAGUUCUCGGAAAUUUGAAAUUUGAAAUAAAAAAAUUUGAAUUCAAUUGGGUAUUUUUGAUUGGUUUUGAUCAAUUAAUUAAUUAAUUUGUGGAAUUUUUUUGGCAGUACGAGGAUUUAGCUGAGCUCGAAUGGCUUUCAAAUUUCGUGGAGGAGUCGUUUUACAGUGAGAACCUGCAAAAGCUGCAGCUGAUAUCAGGAAUAAAAGCCCAACCCGACGAGACAGCUUUCAAGACCCAACAAUUCCAACCCGAACCUAACCGAAACGACAAUGCUCACAACAUCACCACAACCAACAACAACCUGAUAUUCAACCUGAACGUUUCGGUACCCGCCAAGGCCAGAAGCAAACGGUCCCGGGCCCCCCCAUGCAACUGGACCUCUCGGCUUCUCCUCCUCUCCCAAUCGACGUCGUCCUCAGAGCAAUUCAACGUCGUUUCAUGUGUGUCGGCGUCUCCCUUACUACCGCAAUCAACCACCGGGAAGAAAAUGAUGAAGUCGGCGCCAAAGAAAAAGGAGAGCCCAGAUGGUCUUGGAGGGGGCCCCGGGGAUUGCCAGAAGUGCCUGCAUUGCGCGACUGACAAGACACCACAGUGGCGAACGGGGCCCAUGGGGCCGAAGACGCUGUGCAAUGCAUGUGGGGUCCGAUACAAGUCAGGCCGGCUCGUACCCGAGUACCGACCAGCCUCGAGCCCGACGUUCGUGUUGACAAAGCACUCUAACUCGCAUCGCAAGGUGCUGGAGCUUCGACGUCAGAAGGAGAUGGUGAGGACGCAACAACAGUUUAUUCACCAAGUACUGCCGCAGCAGCAUCACCACCACCACCAUCAUCACCAUCAGAACAUGGGUUGCGAUGUAUCCAACGGUGGAGAUUACUUGAUUCACCCACAUGCGGGGCUCGACUUCCGGCAGCUGAUCUAGUGGGAAGCGUACUAGAGUAGCUAAAACUAGACAGCUUUUUAGGGUUAAUUUAACGGGUCUAGUUGAUCUUCUUCUUUUUUUAAGAAAAAAAUAAUUAAUUAGACAAUUUCGUAAUGUUUUUUUUUUCUUCUUCUUCGUCUAGGGUAAUUUUCCCUAACCUAAAAUUUGAACUUUCUAGUCUGUUUUCUUCUUCUUCUUUUUUUCCUUUUUUUUUUUCUCCUCAUAUUUGAUUUAGAGAGUUAAAUUAAACUGAACUAAUAUCAAUAUGGUGCCUUACUUUAGUUAAUAAGCUAUAGUGCUUUUUAAAUGCGUUAAUGAGCCGAGUGUGUUAAUAAAAAUUAAAAAUAUAUAUAAUUACAAAAAGCCAUAAGGCCCUUAAUAAUUUCCUUAAAUUGGCUCUUUCUCAAUGUCUAUGAGUAUGCUAAUAUUCUUAUGGUCCCGUGCAUAAGGCAAUUGAUCAAAUUUUGUUCAUAACGAAAAGGUUAAUCACUUUUGUUUAGCAAACCAUAAUUUCACUUGCCCCUACCACGUUCUUAGACUGUAGAUUGCUUCCAACGGGUACUUGAUGGUUUUGUUUCGUAAUUGAGGUGGUAACUAAUGGUAUACAACACAAAAUAGUUAUGGUUGUCCAAAUAUGUACCCCACUAAGUUGGUGUAUGGUGAGAGAGAAUUAUGUUAUCUUGUUGACACCCCAACAUCACCAAGUGAAAGGUCUCCAACCUAAUCAUAAUUUGCAUGACAAGAAAUAAUGCUGGACACCACCUCUUUAAACUUUCAUAUUACUCAUUAUUCACACAGCUAAGAGAAAUUAAAAGAGAGUUAGUUGUAAUUACUGUCC